GACCUGGUCCCAGGGAGAUGAGAGCUCAGAAAAGCUUUGCCUGUCUGCUGUUUCACUUGUUCUCCUGAAGAAAUUCUGCAGGAACUCGCCAAGGCUGAGUGACCUCAGACUGGGCAAUGGGUGUGCUAGAGCUAAGCUCGGGUGAUAUCAAAAUAUCUAACACAGGUGUGGGGUGGGCAGUGGCCCUCCACCAGCCAGCUCGUGGCAGAGAUGUCCUGGAGGUUCUCCUGCUUUGCCAGCUGUUAACCCUUUAGAAUUUCUAGCAGGUUGAGGCGCCUGGUCCGCGAGAUGCUGAAUGGCAAAUUCUGUCAAACUAGAUACUACCAAGGCGAUCCCCAGGGCAAGAUUGCUCCGUUACACGCAACUGUCCAGGAAGUGCCUUUGCAAGAGUGUCUUCGAUGAAAGAAUGGAACCUAUGAGAGGUGUGGAGAAGAACUCACUUUCAUCAAAGGAUCGGCUUUCAGGAUGGUCUGGGAGCCCAGAGCAUUAUUGUAUUACACACCAC
ensembl:lncRNA